CGAGCGCAACCCUCGUCGUGUGUUAUACGUGUCACACGAUACUGACCGGUAUCAAGCCGGAGGAAGUGGGGAUGAUGUCAAGUCAGCAUGGCCUUUAUAUCCUGGGCUACACACACGCUACAAUGGCAGAUACAAUAGGUUGCGAAACCGCGAGGUGGAGCCAAUCCUCAAAGUCUGUCUCAGUUCAGAUUGUAGGCUGCAACUCGCCUGCAUGAAGUUGGAGUUGCUAGUAAACGCAGGUCAGCUACACUGCGUUGAAUACGUUCCCGGGUUU
rnacentral:rRNA from 1 species